CGGCGAGUGGACGGGGUAUGCGUCGGCGACGCUAAUCGGCGUCAUGCGCAGCGCGCGGGCGACGGCGCAGGAGAUCGUCGCUCAUCUCGCUGC
rnacentral:tRNA from 1 species